rnacentral:siRNA from 1 species
AUAUAUGGCCAAAUAAAACUUAGU